rnacentral:rRNA from 1 species
UACGAAGGGGGCUAGCGUUGCUCGGAAUCACUGGGCGUAAAGGGCGCGUAGGCGGAUCUUUAAGUCGGGGGUGAAAGCCUGAGGCUCAACCUCAGAAUUGCCUUCGAUACUGGAGAUCUUGAGACCGGAAGAGGUAAGUGGAACUGCGAGUGUAGAGGUGAAAUUCGUAGAUAUUCGCAAGAACACCAGUGGCGAAGGCGGCUUGCUGGUCCGGUUCUGACGCUGAGGCGCGAAAGCGUGGGGAGCGAACAGG